GAAUGGAGCAUUUUCAGAUUAAGACAUGAGGGAUAUGCUCAUAUUAUUCAGGGUUUCAGGAGCAUACUUUGGACAUGUGUACAGCGCAUUCGGAAUAUGCGUCUCAAUUGGGUUUUUAUAUCAG